rnacentral:lncRNA from 1 species
CUUGAGAAAGUGUGUAGUGGAGAGAUGGUCCCUAACUCCAGUCUUGCUGCAUCUCUAUCCGCUGAGCAAAUGAGGGCCUUCUGAAAAUUAGUCUCUGAAAAGGCCCAGAAGACCCCAGCAGUGAGGUUCAGGACUCAAAUGCAUGCUCCUGAACACUUGCAGAUACACUUGAAUAAGAAGAGAAAGGGCCUGUAUCCAAGGCUAUCACAGAGGCAGCUAAGACUGCCAAGCAGCUGACCUCUGAAGUACAGGCUCUGCUGACAAUUUGAAACAUAAACACAGAUUUGCAUCUUGAUUGAAGCAAAGGCAUCUGUCUUUUCCCAGAUAGCAAGAAGUUUGGUUGCUGUGGCAACAUGUUGACUAAGGAAUUUAAAAAUAAAGGUGGCUCAUUUCCAAAUCGUUUUUCCACCUUUUCUUCAUGAAAAAAGCACACACUGGUAAGAAACUUCCACUGGAGUUUUUAUAACCAAUAAGCCUAUUGUUUGCUGAAA